AUGAUGCGGCGUGCGGCAGCGCGCACGACCAGGAGGAUAGCGACACAGAGGCGCAGCGAGGUGGGUGUAGACCAUGACGAGGAAGAUGGCCAUGUCGUGGCGGUGAUGACCACGCCAAACAGCCAACCGUCAUGCCCAUUGGAUUCUCAUGAUGGAGCACAAGGCAGUGCUGGGGCUAUCACUGGGAAUGUUAACCUAGCUUCUUCCCCAACUCAGGCUACUACUGUGAGAGCAUCACAAGCUCAUGGCAGUGAUGGAUCUGUUAGAGUUGGUAAUAAAAGAAAGCUCACAUCAAUUGUGUGGGAAAGAAAUUUUGAAAAGCAAAUUGUUAAUGGGGAAUCGCAAGCUGAGUGCAUGUAUUGCCAUAAAAAAAUUAUAGCAAAAGGAGGAACUUCACAACAAGUCAAGUGGUGCUUACAAAGCCUCAUGUGA
rnacentral:rRNA from 1 species